AGUGAACGCUGGCGGUAGGCCUAACACAUGCAAGUCGAACGGCAGCACAGUAAGAGCUUGCUCUUACGGGUGGCGAGUGGCGGACGGGUGAGGAAUACAUCGGAAUCUACUUUUUCGUGGGGGAUAACGUAGGGAAACUUACGCUAAUACCGCAUACGACCUACGGGUGAAAGCAGGGGAUCUUCGGACCUUGCGCGAUUGAAUGAGCCGAUGUCGGAUUAGCUAGUUGGCGGGGUAAAGGCCCACCAUGGCGACGAUCCGUAGCUGGUCUGAGAGGAUGAUUAGCCACACUGGAACUGAGAAACGGUCCAGACUCCUAAGGGAGGCAGCAGUGGGGAAUAUUGGGCAAUGGGCGCAAGCCUGAUCCAGCCAUACCGCGUGGGUGAAGAAGGCCUUCGGGUUGUAAAACCCUUUUGUUGGGAAAGAAAAGCAGCAGGUUAAAACCCCGACGUUCUGACGGUACCCAAAGAAUAAGCAACGGCUAACUUCGUG
rnacentral:rRNA from 1 species